rnacentral:rRNA from 1 species
AUUGAACGCUGGCGGCAGGCCUAACACAUGCAAGUCGAGCGAGCGGCGGACGGGUGAGUAAUGUAUGGGGACUGCCCGAUAGAGGGGGAUAACUACUGGAAACGGUGGCUAAUACCGCAUACUAUCGGAUAACCCAUAUGGGAUUAGCUAGUAGGUGGGGUAAAGGCUCACCUAGGCGACGAUCUCUAGCUGGUCUGAGAGGAUGAACCACAAAAAUGGGACUGAGACACGGCCCAGACUCCUACGGAGGCAGCAGUGGGGAAUAUUGCAAAAUGGGCGAAAUCCUGAUGCAGCCAACCCGCGGGUAUGAUGAAGGCCUUAGGGUUGUAAAGUACUUUCAGCGGGGAGGCGUUACCCGCAGAAGAAGCACCGGCUAACUCCGUGCCAGCAGCCGCGGUAAUAC